AUAUCAGUCAUGCAUAGCAUAUCAAUAAGCGGAGGAAAAGUAAACUAACAAGGAUUCCCCUAGUAACGGCGAGUGAAGCGGGAAGGAGCUCAAAUUUGAAAUCUUAAAGGGUUUCCCUUUACGAAUUGUAGUUUAAAGAAGUGUUUUCUGUUGAGGUUUUGGUAAAAGUUCUUUGGAAUAGGACAUCAUAGAGGGUGAGAAUCCCGUAUUUGACCUUUACUUUCAACUUUGUGAUACACUUUCAAAGAGUCGGAUUGUUUGGGAAGUGCAGUCCAAAAUGGGUGGUAAAUUUCAUCUAAAGCUAAAUAUUGGCGAGAGACCGAUAGCGAACAAGUACCGUGAGGGAAAGAUGAAAAGAACUUUCGAAAAGAGAGUUAAACAGUACGUGAAAUUGUCAAAAGGGAAGCGUUUGACACCAGUGUUGUUUUUCUGAAAAUCAAUUAAAGAACUGUUUAUGCUAAGUUGUUUAGACUUUAUCAGCUAACUGUUUAGUUUUGAGCUUUUCUUUAAUGCACUUUUCAGUUAACAAGUCAACAUCAAUUUCUUUUGCUGUAAAAAAGCUUGAGGAAGGUGGCUUGAGAUUCGUCUUAAGUGUUUAUAGCCUCUUGCCUAUGCAGUCGGAGAGAUUGAGGUCUGCAGCGUAGAUCCUUCGGGGCUAAAUGCAUUUGUGCUAAGUUAUAGCAUUUUAUAGACAACUUGUUGACUAUGAUUUGUCUUGUAGCUUACUCGCUUAUGUUAUUUUACCUACGCUUAGGAUGUUGACGCGCGUGUGUGCGUG
rnacentral:rRNA from 1 species